GGGAGACGGUAUUGAGUUUAGCAGGGCUUUGAAUUAACUGUUUUGAUCACCAGCCAACAGUGCUAGUAGAUUUUUCAAGUUACCAGCCAAUCCGAUUUUCCAUUAGCCUAAUUUUUACUGAUUUCAACAGAUUUUAACUAACUUUACUACU